UCACGCUCCUUUGGGGAGUAGCCUCUUGUUCUGUACAAGACAAACGUCAACAUAAUUGAAGCAAAAUCUUCAUGGCGUUUGUGACCCACGCAAUCCUACUUGUGGGUU
rnacentral:sRNA from 1 species